rnacentral:rRNA from 1 species
GACGAACGCUGGCGGCGUGCUUAACACAUGCAAGUCGAACGGAAAGGCCCUGCUUUUGUGGGGUGCUCGAGUGGCGAACGGGUGAGUAACACGUGAGUAACCUGCCCUUGACUUUGGGAUAACUUCAGGAAACUGGGGCUAAUACCGGAUAGGAGCUCCUGCUGCAUGGUGGGGGUUGGAAAGUUUCGGCGGUUGGGGAUGGACUCGCGGCUUAUCAGCUUGUUGGUGGGGGAGUGGCUUACCAAGGCUUUGACGGGUAGCCGGCCUGAGAGGGUGACCGGCCACAUGGGGACUGGGAUACGGCCCCGACCCCUACGGGGGGCAGCGGUGGGGAAUAUUGCAAAAGGGGCGGAAGCCUUAGGCAGCAACGCCGCGGGGGGGAUGACGGCCUUGGGGUUGUAAACCGCUUUCGCCUGUGACGAAGCGUGAGUGGCGGUAAUGGGUAAAGAAGCACCGGCUAACUACGU